CACACCAUCUUAACAGAGACGCACACAGUAGGCCUACGUCAGCCUUGGCAAACUGGCAAACGAAUUGGCCCGCGAAUUGGCGCACGUAGCAUAAUUUUACAUGAAAGAACAAGUCUAGCUGAACACGACCAGCCGAGAGAUUUGAGAGCCUGUUCCGGCCUGUUCCAAUUCCAUUUCUGAAUGCCUUAUAAAAUGGAAACUGCCUCUUAAUCCACUGGGAUCGGUGUACGACACUUUACGCCGAAUAUACCAUACAGAUGAUGGCUUGUCAUGAUCACGAUCCCGUCAGGACCUUAGGUUGUAGGAUAGGACCUUAUGAUUGACCAGGAUAGGACCUUAUGUUGGUACAACGGACGCUAUGACAUCCGCUCGUACCUAAAAGAGUUUGCUUCCUCUCGGUAAAUCCGGUACACAAUACAAUGAAGUGUCGAUUAUGAACACUAGAUGGCGAUUGAUGUUGUUGAUCUCUUCAUGGCGAACGAAUGUCAAAAGUUAUGAUUUGUCCUAGCUGUGUUCGAGUUUUCGUUGCUGUUGCAGAUAUUGAGUGUAUGUUCUGCUGCUUCAGCAGGCCAUAUUUGUGGAUUAUACCAGUUUUCACAACAAGUUUCUACAUGUCUGGUAUUAUUCACAACCUCAGUGUAGAUUUGUAUGUAUAUUUUUCUCAGUUACCAACACUUCUAAAGUGUUUAUUGUUG